AAAGCUGGCGUCUUCGGCGUCCGCAUUGUAAUCUCAAGAAGUGUUUUCCGCUUCGGACCAUGCCUAAGUCCCUUGGAAAAGGGCAUCAUAGAGGGUGAUAAUCCCGUACAUGGCAUGGAGCGCCCGAAGCUUUGUGAUACGCUUUCUAAGAGUCGAGUUGUUUGGGAAUGCAGCUCAAAAUGGGUGGUAAAUGCCAUCUAAGGCUAAAUAUUGGGGAGAGACCGAUAGCGAACAAGUACAGUGAUGGAAAGAUGAAAAGAACUUUGAAAAGAGAGUUAAACAGUACGUGAAAUUGCCAAAAGGGAAGGGUAGGAGGUCAGAGAUGCGGCCUGGGAUUCAGCCUUGCUUUUGCUUGGUGUUUUUCCCAGAUUGCAGGCCAACGUCGGUUUUGGGCACUGGAGAAGGGUAGGAGGAACGUGGCACCUCUCGGGGUGUGUUAUAGCCUCCUACUGGAUACAGCGACCGAGACCGAGGACAGCAGCGUACUCGCAAGAGCGGGCCUUCGGGCACCUUUACGCUUAGGGCGUUGGCAUAAUGGCCCUCUACCACCCGUU
rnacentral:rRNA from 1 species